AUUAUAUUUUUAUCAUCAUUCAUCUUGUUUCUUACAUAUUUGAUUAUCCUUUUCUUAAAUCAUUAAUAAUUGUAUUAUUUUAGUCUUAUACAAGAGUUCUAUUCUCAGAAGUUCUUACUGAGUCCUGCUUGUUUUGUCUGCUGGCUCUCACUCAUGGUAGUUUCUUUCUUUGUGUGCUGUGUGUGAACUCAUGUUUGCAUGCUGCCACAAUGUGGGCUCACAUCAUCUUCACUUUUUUUUUUUUUUUUGAGUCAGAGUCUUGCCUUGUUGCCCAGGCUGGUGUGCAGUGGUGCGAUCAUGGCUUACUGCAGCCUUGACCUCCUGGGCUCAAGUGAUCCUCCCACCUCAGCCUCCCAAGUAGCUGUGCCAGCCAAUUUUUUGUUUUUUUGUAUUUUUUGUAGAGACUGGGGUGGGCGGGCGGGGGGUCGGGGGGGUCUCACCGUGUUGCCCAGGCUGGUCUCUAAUUUCUGAGAUCUAAUCCCGAAGUGUUGGGAUUACAGGUGCGAGCCACUGCACUCGACCACCAUCCUCAC
rnacentral:lncRNA from 1 species